rnacentral:rRNA from 1 species
UAUAGUUUAUUUGAUGGUCACUCACUACUUGGAUAACCGUGGUAAUUCUAGAGCUAAUACAUGCGCCCAAACCCGACUUCGCGGAAGGGUUGUGUUUAUUAGAUACAGAACCAACCUAGGCUCUGCCUGGUUUUGUGGUGAUUCAUAAUAACCGAACGAAUCGCAUGGCGUCAGCCGGCGAUGAAUCAUUCAAGUUUCUGACCUAUCAGCUUCCGACGGUAGGGUAUUGGCCUACCGUGGCAUUGACGGGUAACGGAGAAUUAGGGUUCGAUUCCGGAGAGGGAGCCUGAGAAACGGCUACCACA